rnacentral:rRNA from 1 species
AUUGAACGCUGGCGGCAGGCCUAACACAUGCAAGUCGAACGGUAGCACAGAGAGCUUGCUCUCGGGUGACGAGUGGCGGACGGGUGAGUAAUGUCUGGGAAACUGCCCGAUGGAGGGGGAUAACUACUGGAAACGGUAGCUAAUACCGCAUAACGUCGCAAGACCAAAGUGGGGGACCUUCGGGCCCAACACCUUCGGUUGAGCCCAGAUGGGAUUAGCUAGUAGGUUGGGUAAUGGCUCACUUAGGCGACGAUCCCUAGCUGGUCUGAGAGGAUGACCAGCCACACUGGAACUGAGACACGGUCCAGACUACUACGGGAGGCAGCAGUGGGGAAUAUUGCACAAUGGGCGCAAGCCUGAUGCAGCCAUGCCGCGUGUAUGAAGAAGGUCUUCGGGUUGUAAAGUACUUUCAGCGGGGAGGAAGGCGGUGAAGUUAAUAGCUUCACCGAUUGACGUUACCCGCAGAAGAAGCACCGGCUAACUCCGUGCCAGCCGCCGCCGUAA